rnacentral:rRNA from 1 species
AUGUCCUACACCAUCCGUGUGUGGGGAAUGAUUAAAUCUUGGCUCGACUUACACGAUGUACAUCCAGCAAACUGGGGUGGAUUGACUUCGGUCAAGGAGUCGUGGCGCGUCAAUGUUUCUGGGACCUCACGACCACGAAGGGCGCUGACUUCCAUUAUGCUACUGAUUUCUUGUGAAUAUGGAAAGAGCGAAAUGCACGUGUGUUCCGUAACAAUGCAAUUCCAGUGGGUGUGCUUGUUGCUCGAAUCAAAGAGGAAGCCUCAUGGUGGUGCCGUGUCGGGGCGAAAUAUUUGUGUAAACUCAUGCCCCGAGAGUGGGGAUUGUAACUCGGCCAAUGGCCUCGACUCUAAAACCUUCUUCUUAUUCAAUGAAAAUACCAACGCACGGCUCCUUUUCCUUUCCCAAAAAACUCUGUCGUCCCCCAUCAAUCCCAUAGGCUGGACGUCCAUCCCUCCAGAGGUUGAUCGAUCCUCUCGCAACUACCCAGGUCUCUACGAGAGGUUGAUCGAUCCUCUCCAACUGUCGCUCUUCCUCACCCUCCAUGGAUCAAUCUUGACGCGCCUAUCCUUCGCCAUGGAGGUGUGGGUGUAUCGAAGACUGUUGGAACCAGAUUGGAUGGUCAUCGCCAUUGACAAGGCUGCUGAGCAAAAAAACUGUGCAGGAUUGGCUGUGGCGCUGUUUAUCUACUUAACACCAUUCGGUUUUGUGGGUGCUAACCUUACCAGCAGUCUACUAAGAACCGAGUACCAACUUGCUAGGUGUCAAGUGUCCCUCAGUUCAUCGAGCUCCCAUGAAGGCCUCCUUCCAGGAUACAAAGGAAGGAUACGACACCGGAGCGCCGCCACCGCCCGAUCCGAGGGUCAGAGUUUUCCCCGGAGCCGCACGACGGGUGGUGAGAGCCGCGACGACGCCUUCAAGAAGGGGAACGAGUUUCGCCGUUGCCGAUCUGUCCGAAGAAAGAGCAGGUUUUCACCCCGGCCAACACUCACCGCCGCCGAACGCUACACCCCGGCAACCACGCCGCCCACACGGCCAUGGUCACCGGGCAGCGCCAAGACACGGGCUUUGCCCAAGAGCACCGUGCACCACCACCAGGGCCGCCGCCCAGGCAUCCAAGACCUUGACACCACCGCACCCGAGACCCGCUGCUACCCCAACCAAAGAGACGAGCAAAAAAGGAUCCGCCUUUGCACCCCUGGCCCACCCCCAGCAUCGAGACCCAACAGGUCGGCCAACACUGGCAUCCAUCGACCCAUCCUGCAGCCCGGAGCGCGAGACGAGAUCGGUCCUGCAGCACCGUGGGGCGAGGACGAGGUCAGUCCUGCUGCACCGUGCGCGAGACGAGCUCGGUCCGGCGGCACUCUAGGAAAGGGCCAACCCUUUGAAGGGAGAAGCGACCGAGCGCCGAGGAGAUGGAGUGAAAGCCGAAACGGUCCGAUCGCAGACAAACCGACGCCGGAGAAGCUAGCCGCCGCCGCAAGCAGAUCCGCCAAGCCACCAUGGAACCGCCACGACACCGGGAGUCCAUCACCACCGGACCUCCACACGUCGCCGCCCACGGCCGGAGCAACGGCCACGCCCGGCCGCUGCACUACCCGCGUCGCCCGGCGAGCUCAUAGCGCCGGAGUCGCCGGGCAUGCACCACCGCCACCAUGCGCCGCCGGCCGACCCCCACCACCAGAUCCGGCUGGAUCCAGCAGGGGCUGA